rnacentral:rRNA from 1 species
UACGAAGGGGGCUAGCGUUGUUCGGAAUUACUGGGCGUAAAGCGCACGUAGGCGGAUAUUUAAGUCAGGGGUGAAAUCCCAGAGCUUAACUCUGGAACUGCCUUUGAUACUGGGUAUCUUGAGUAUGGAAGAGGUGAGUGGAAUUCCGAGUGUAGAGGUGAAAUUCGUAGAUAUUCGGAGGAACACCAGUGGCGAAGGCGGCUCACUGGUCCAUUACUGACGCUGAGGUGCGAAAGCGUGGGGAGCAAACAGG